CAUAUACGUGUUUCUCUAUGAUUACCCCUGAAAAUCAGUAAAUAUGAAAUCCUUCCUCGCCAACACCUGGUGUUGUUGAAGAAUCAAUCAGUGUUUGUUGUGAUGACGAUUGACGCAGCGAUCGAAUCGAUUCUCAAAUGCAAUGCUCUUUUCCGUUGAUGUGUACGAGGAUAACACAGUUAAGUUGAUCGAACAUGUAGUGAUAAUUACAAAAUACCGAGGACGUAUUUGUUGGACGUUACGGGACAAUCAUAAGCAAGACGAUGCAUAGCCCAACGGAGGAAUAGCAACACCCAUCAAUAACAAUAAGCUCAUACAUUUAUAACAGCCCAAAAAGAAUGUAGAGCAUGAGAUGUCGCCAUAAACAGAUACAAGGUCCUAAUGAAAAAUGAACCAGGCCCACGCAAUAUAUAAAUAAGUCAUUCAAUGACUAGAGAAAGGGGGUUAUCCAUGAUAUAGCGAUGACACUAUUGUAAACAAUUUGGAGAUGAUGAAUUCUCCCUCAUUAUGCCAAAUUAUAUCAUGCAUUUAUGGAA